rnacentral:rRNA from 1 species
UGAGUAACACGUGGGCAAUCUGCCCUGCACUUCGGGAUAAGCCUGGGAAACUGGGUCUAAUACCGGAUAGGACCUUUAGACGCAUGUCUUUUGGUGGAAAGCUUUUGCGGUGUGGGAUGGGCCCGCGGCCUAUCAGCUUGUUGGUGGGGUGAUGGCCUACCAAGGCGACGACGGGUAGCCGGCCUGAGAGGGUGUCCGGCCACACUGGGACUGAGAUACGGCCCAGACUCCUACGGGAGGCAGCAGUGGGGAAUAUUGCACAAUGGGCGCAAGCCUGAUGCAGCGACGCCGCGUGGGGGAUGACGGCCUUCGGGUUGUAAACCUCUUUCACCAUCGACGAAGGUCCGGGUUUUCUCGGAUUGACGGUAGGUGGAGAAGAAGCACCGGCCAACUACGUGCCAGCAGCCGCGGUAAUACGUAGGGUGCGAGCGUUGUCCGGAAUUACUGGGCGUAAAGAGCUCGUAGGUGGUUUGUCGCGUUGUUCGUGAAAUCUCACGGCUUAACUGUGAGCGUGCGGGCGAUACGGGCAGACUAGAGUACUGCAGGGGAGACUGGAAUUCCUGGUGUAGCGGUGGAAUGCGCAGAUAUCAGGAGGAACACCGGUGGCGAAGGCGGGUCUCUGGGCAGUAACUGACGCUGAGGAGCGAAAGCGUGGGGGAGCGAACAGGAUUAGAUACCCUGGUAGUCCACGCCCGUAAACGGUGGGUACUAGGUGUGGGGUUUCCUUCCUUGGGGAUCCCGUGCCGUAGCUAACGCAUUUAAGUACCCCCGCCUGGGGAGUACGGCCGCAAAGGCUAAAACUCAAAGGGAAUUUGACGGGGGGCCCCGCACAA